AUUGAACGCUGGCGGCAGGCCUAACACAUGCAAGUCGAGCGUGAAAGGGCUUCGGCCUGAGUAAAGCGGCGGACGGGUGAGUAACGCGUAGGAAUCUACCUGGUAGUGGGGGAUAACGUUCCGAAAGGAACGCUAAUACCGCAUACGUUCUGAGGAAGAAAGCAGGGGACCGCAAGGCCUUGCGCUAUCAGAUGAGCCUGCGUCCGAUUAGCUAGUUGGUAGGGUAAAGGCCUACCAAGGCGACGAUCGGUAACUGGUCUGAGAGGAUGAUCAGUCACACUGGAACUGAGACACGGUCCAGACUCCUACGGGAGGCAGCAGUGGGGAAUAUUGGACAAUGGGGGCAACCCUGAUCCAGCCAUGCCGCGUGUGUGAAGAAGGCCUUCGGGUUGUUAAAGGCACUUUAAGCGGGGAGGAAGGACUUGAUGGCUAAUAACCUAGUGUCAAGUUGAUGGUAACGCAAGAGGAAGAGACGGCUAACGUCUGUGCCAGCAGCCGCGGU
rnacentral:rRNA from 1 species